UGUACGAGCCCAAGGCCCUCAACUAUAGAAGUAAAAAGUAAGUUUUUAGAUAUGUGGGACAAGCUGACCCAUCAUUUAGACGAAACAGACCAGAAAAGAAAACAAAAUGCAGAAACCAGACUAAAGUAUGGGCACUGCUCCAUGGGCCACCUGGCAGGAAAAAGAAACAGUCCCUGAGCCCCCGGAAGCCCUGACCACCAUGUACUUUUUGCUAACUCACUGUUAUGAUUAUAGCCAAAAUAGGUAACAUACACGUAUGCCUCAUUUACUCCACCAAUCACAUCCCUGUAACCAUGCAUCUGCUUCUGUAAGCCUGCUUCUGCACCCAAUGCCCUAUAAAAACCCGUCCCUGGUUCUGCUAGGCGCGCCAGUCUUCCGAAUUGACUGGGACGCCCACAGAUACCUGUGUAUCCUGAUCAAUAAAAAUCCUCUUGCAGAUUGCAGCCUGUGGACUCUGUCUGGUCAUUGGGCUUGAGGAUCUCCCUCCUGAGGGAAGAUUCUCUCUGAGAGUCUUACAUUAUGGAGGCUCGUCCGGGAUCGGAGAUCCACUGCCUAGAGACCACCGACCACCCACCGGAAGUAACUGUUACAGGUCUUCUUUACCACUGAAAAAAGAUGGAAUCCUACUAGAGGCCAGAAAGAAUGUUCCAGACACGGAUGGAAGACCCUCACUCCUUACUGUUGACUUGAAUACCCCUGAAGGAAUAGGUAGAAGCUUUCCCCACCAAGCAAGAGACAGCCUCAAUAGUCAUCAAGAAGAUACUAGAAGAAAUCUUCCCCCGAUUUGGAAUGCCCAAGGUAAUCUGGUCAGACAACAUCCCUACUUUCGUUGCCAAGGUAAGCCAGGGUGUGGCCAAAUAUUUAGAGGUCGAUUGAAAAUUACGUUAUAUUUACAGACCUCAAAGUUCAGGACAGAUAAAAUAAAUAAAUAAGACUCUAAAAGAGACCCUGACCAAAUUAACCAUGGAGACUGGCACAGACUGGGUGACACUCCUUCCCUCUUGCUCUCUUCAGAGCAAGAAAUACCUCUUCCAGAUUCAGCCUUACACCCUUUGAGAUCUUAUAUGGGGCCUCAGCUCCCCUGACUGUAUCAGAUGAUGUUACUGAACCAACAUGUCAUAGUAAUAAUAAUUUAUAUGCCAGGCUAAAAGACCUACAGGCGAUACAGAAAGAAAUCUGCACACAGCUGACAGCAGCCUAUGCCCCGGAGACCCCUGAGACAUGUCAUCAGUUCCAGGUUAGAGACUACAGCUACACUGAGCCCAGACACUCGAGCCUCGCUGGAAAGGACCGUACCUGGUGCUGCUGACCACCCUGACAGCCGUCAAUUCUCAGCCCUCACCAGCAGCGUACUAGCUGUUGGGGCUGAGAGCUGGGACCUAGAGGGACACUUAGAUCUUCAAAAAGCUCCCUAGACCUAAGUGACUGGGAGGUUGCUAUAAUGCUCACUUGAGGAGUGUGUUUUAGAAACAAGAAUUUCACGUUUGCUCUUGGUUCCCUCAGAAUAGGUGUAGGGAUAGGCUUGAUUUUUAUUGCAAAUGAUGUAACAUUGCAUAUGUUAGUACUCCUAACACUUCUUGGGACUGUGCCUCAGGGAUCACAACCUAUAUAAGUUUAGAAGUUCUAAAAGACCUUGGUGUAUAGGUUCAGAUAGUGUCCAGAUUAGAAUCCUGAUGCUAAAGACUUAAUAAGAAACAAAAGAGAGUUGAGAAUUAUUUAAGGCUAUCCAGGUGCUAAAAGGGCAGCACAAGGACAUCUGCUGUUGCCUUACAAUGCAAGGCUUAUAGAGAAUUCAGAACUGCCAUUGACUCAGAUAUAUAUAAAAAAAAAAAAACCAAAAAACAGAGGUACCUUAACCAAGUUGAGUGGAAGAUUCCACUCAAGGACAAAAAAAGAAAAUGGGGGAAUGAAAGACCCUCUCCCAAAAAGGGAAUUGUACAAGCCCAAGGCCCUCAACUAUAGAAGUAAAAAGUAAGUUUUUAGAUAUGUGGGACAAGCUGACCCAUCAUUUAGACAAAACAGACCAGAAAAGAAAACAAAAUGCAGAAAUCAGACUAAAGUAUGGGCACUGCUCCAUUGGCCACCUGGCAGGAAAAAGAAACAGUCCCUGAGCCCCCGGAAGCCCUGACUAUCAUGUACUUUUUGCUAACUCACUGUUAUGAUUAUAGCCAAAAUAGGUAACAUACACGUAUGCCUCAUUUACUCCACCAAUCACAUCCCUGUAACCAUGCAUCUGCUUCUGUAAGCCUGCUUCUGCUCCCCAAUGCCCUAUAAAAACCCGUCCCUGGUUCUGCUAGGUGCGCCAGUCUUCCGAAUUGACUGGGACGCCCACAGAUACCUGUGUAUCUUGAUCAAUAAAAAUCCUCUUGCAGAUUGCAUCCUGUGGACUCGGUCUGGUCACUGGGCUUGAGGAUCUCCCUCCUGAGGGAAGAUUCUCUCUGAGAGUCUUACACUAUUGGCAACACAGAUGAUUCCUUUUUAAAAAAUGUAACAUACUCUCUAGUGCUUCUGCCAACUAGACCUCAUUCGUGAUGUAUGUGAAAGGAUAUUAAAAGAAUAAGCUUCAAAAUUCACAGCCUCAGAGCUAAACACUGUCCUGCCCUGCUGCUAGGACUAACAGACCAUAAAGAUAAAGAAAAGGAAUGCAGGAACCAGCCCGAGUUAUCAGGAUUGACUCAUAAACCAUCUGGCAGGAGGACAUCUCCCCCAGCUUACUAAGAGUCAUACAUUAACCAGAUGUCCUCCAGACCCUGAUAAGCCCCUGACUUCUAGCACAUACUCUCCUGCUAUGUUGUAAUCUCACUGCUAUGUUUGAAUGAGCCAAUUGUGUGUAACCGCGCCAAAAUCCCCUAGCUUUCCCUAUAUAAACUGCCGACUUUUGAGUUUCAGGGUCAACUCCUCUGUCUCCUGCGUGAGACACGUGUGGGCCCGGAGCUCCGUUAUUAUUAAACUGCCUCUUGCUUUUACAUCAAGACCGGUCUCUCGUGUUUCCAGGGGCACGCCAUCCUGA